ensembl:lncRNA
CGAAGAUCUCUCAUUAUCUUGUCAUCCAAACUGUCAAGAAGCUGGAACUUUUUUACUUCUUUUGACCCAGUAGGUUCUCCUUGCCUCUGAAGGGCCUCCCAGUCUCCUCUCCAGCGAUGAAAGUCUCGCCUGAUGCCAGUGAACUUGGGGAGGGAGGUUGGCUUCAGUCUGAUGGCUGAUAUUGAUGUCGGGUAGCUGAUAGAAGCUGCACUCACAACUCUUUCGGCGUCUUCUUUAGCUUUUGCUUUAAUGAACUCUGCCUUUUUGGACAUUAACUUGGGAACGAUCUGCUCGAGCUCUCGUACACGCACCUGGAAGUCUUUCUGCUCGGCAGGAGGGGCCCAACCCUUCCACUGUGUGUACAGCUCCUUCGCCCUCUUAACCAGUCCUUCCAUGUAGUCGAACAUGAAGUCAAAGGCCUCUUUAUUUCCACCAGGUUCAAAGGAAAUCACACUCUUUACUUUCUCCUCUGCAGCCUGUAGCGCCAUCAUCAGUUCCUCCUCCCCGAAAUUAGCCCAGAGUGUCUUUCGAAUGAGGUCCUUCAGCUCUUCCAAUUUCAUCUCACACUCGCUUGCAGUUUUCCCAAUAUCGGCCUUUUGCUGCUUGCUCAACCCGGGAACUUCAUCAGGAUCUGCGUCCAGCUCCACUUCUGCAAGGUACUGGGCCUCCACAUCGUCAUUUGCUUCCAUGACUUUGUUGGCCUCAGUUAUGAGCCUUUUGAAAUGGUCUCUGAGCUCCUCUUCAGCCAUUAUGGCGUGCAUCCGGACAAUGUUGUUGGACAGCCGGGAGAAUUGUCGCUUUGCAGACGUCCUACUAGCUUUAAGCUGCUCCAGUGACUUUGAGUCAGCCAUCUUCCUUUUCACCAGGAUUCGGUGUGGGAGGGGUGAUCUUCAGUGUUACUAGGCCUCUGGACUUCCAGGCCUGGCCAGUUGCAGUUCAGGAUACUUCGCUCCAGUCUUCGCACCAGUGGCGGUUUUUCACUGUCAAGUGUCUCACUUUUGUGAGGGUCAAACUGCAGCCCCCCACUUGAAAGGGCAGC